rnacentral:rRNA from 1 species
UGGGGAAUCUUGGACAAUGGGGGCAACCCUGAUCCAGCCAUGCCGCGUGAAUGAUGAAGGCCCUAGGGUCGUAAAGCUCUUUCGCCUGUGAAGAUAAUGACGGUAGCAGGUAAAGAAACCCCGGCUAACUCCGUGCCAGCAGCCGCGGUAAUACGGAGGGGGUUUGCGUUGUUCGGAAUUACUGGGCGUAAAGCGCACGUAGGCGGACUGGAAAGUUGGGGGUGAAAUCCCAGGGCUCAACCCUGGAACUGCCUCCAAAACUAUCAGUCUAGAGUUCGAGAGAGGUGAGUGGAAUUCCGAGUGUAGAGGUGAAAUUCGUAGAUAUUCGGAGGAACACCAGUGGCGAAGGCGGCUCACUGGCUCGAUACUGACGCUGAGGUGCGUAAGUGUGGGGAGCAAACAGGAUUAGAAACCCUGGUAGUCCACACCGUAAACGAUGAAUGCAGUCGUCGGGUAGCAUGCUAUUCGGUGACACACCUAACGGAU